rnacentral:rRNA from 1 species
UGCUUAUCUAACUUGCCAAUUAGUGGGGGAUAACUAUGGGAAACCAUGGCUAAUACCGCAUUUGUUGCUUUGGCAAUGAAAGGAGGUCGCAAGACUUUCGCUAAUUGAUAGGGAUAAGUCGCAUCAGUUAGUUGGUGGGGUAAUGGCCUACCAAGACUAUGACGCGUAGCCAGGCUGAGAGGCUGAUUGGCCACAAGGAACUGAGACACGGUCCUACUCCCAAGGGAGGCAGCAGUGAGGAAUUUUCCGCAAUGGGGGCAACCCUGACGGAGCAAUACUACGUGAAGGAGGAAGGUCUACGGAUUGUAAACUUCUGUUAGUGCAGAAGAAGGGCUGAAUGCAAGUUCAGUUUUGACAGUAUGCACAGAGAAAGCCACGACUAACUACGUGCCAGCAGUCGCGGUAAGACGUAGGUGGCGAACGUUAUCCGGAAUUAUUGGGCGUAAAGGGUGCGUAGACGGCAUGAUAAGUUAUUGGCGGGAAAUCGAGGCUCAACCUCGUGGAAACUGAUAAUACUGUUUUGCUUGAGUACAGGAGAGGUUAACGGAACUCCAUGUGGAGCGGUAAAAUGUGUAGAUAUAUGGAAGAACAUCAAUAACGGCGAAGGCAGUUAACUAUUCUGUUACUGACGUUGAGGCACGAAAGCGUGGGGAGCAAAACGGAUUAGAUACCCGUGUAGUCCACGCCCUAAACGAUGAGUGCUAGAUAUUGGGAACUUGAUUCUCAGUGUCGCUAGUUAACACGGUAAGCACUCCGCCUGGGUAGUACGCUCGCAAGAGUGAAACUCAAAGGAAUUGACGGGGACUCGCACAAGCAGUGGAGCAUGUGGUUUAAUCCGAUACGACGCGUAGAACCUUACCAAGGCUUGACAUGUUGGGCAAAGCUAGGGAAACCUAGUGGAGGUUAUCCUAACACAGGUGCUGCAUGGCCGUCGUCAGUUCGUGCCGUGAGGUGUAUGGUUAAGUCCUAUAACGAACGUAACCCUUGGACUUAGUUGCCAGCAUUUAGUUGGGGACUCUAAGUCGACUGCCUGAGCAAUCAGGAGGAAGGAAAGGAUCACGUCUGAUCAUC